GCAUUUGUGGUGUAAUGGUUAGCACAUUAGCCACGUAUUCGAGAAUUCCAGGUUCGAGUCCCGGCGAGGGCA
rnacentral:tRNA from 1 species